rnacentral:rRNA from 1 species
AAACCGGAGGAAGGUGGGGAGUGACGUCAAAUCAUCAUGCCCCUUACUGACCUGGGCUACACACGUGCUACAAUGGUUGGUACAACGAGUUGCGAGUCGGUGACGGCGAGCUAAUCUCUUAAAGCCAAUCUCAGUUCGGAUUGUAGGCUGCAACUCGCCUACAUGAAGUCGGAAUCGCUAGUAAUCGCGGAUCAGCACGCCGCGGUGAAUACGUUCCCGGGCCUU